rnacentral:misc_RNA from 1 species
UACGGAGGAGGCAAGCGUUAUCCGGAAUUACUGGGCGUAAAGAGAUGCGUAGGCGGUUUGUUAAGUGGACAAUGAAAUCUUGAGGCUCAACCUUGAGGCUAUUGUCUAAACUAAUAAACUAGAGAUCGAGAGGGGUCACUGGAAUUACUAGUGUAGGAGUGAAAUCCGUAGAUAUUAGUAGGAACACCAAUGGCGAAGGCAGGUGACUGGCUCGAUUCUGACGCUAAGGCUAGAAAGCGUAGGGAGCGAACGGG